rnacentral:misc_RNA from 1 species
AAUUUUGCAAGUUUUGUAUCUUUUUUAUUAAAAAAAAAUCAAACCAAACUAAAACCAAAUCAUUGAAGUAACAUUUUUCAAAGUAAUCUUUCUUUUCACCUUAUACCCAGACCGCACCAAUAAACUCAAAAUAAAAUAACCUCGACCGUUCAACUGUUCAAGGACCAAAGACCCUUCAAAUAGAAACCAGUCUCGAGGUGGUUGUUGAACAAGAUGGAGAACUUGAUGUACGAGAAACCCUCUCUUUUCCAUUUUCCUCUUCCAUGCUCCCUUAGACUCCACAUCAGUUCCCAUCAUUUCCAAAACAACAACCAUCAAAUAUCAAGUCAAUGUUGUCUUCGAAGCCUGUGUCAUCAAACAAAUUUGUUAACUCGCAGGCAUUUUCAAGUGGAAGGUCAGGCACUGGCAGAGGAGUCAAUCCUGAAUCUAAGCAAAAGCUCCAAUUAAGCUCAUGCUCUUCGAUCGGUUCCAUAACGAUCAUUGUUGAAGUGUCCAUGCAUGAUGGAAGCUCGCAAUGAAGUUUUGGCGAGGUGGCCUGUUGUUCUUCUUGUGGUGGCAGUGGAGACGAUGGCGAUGGCGAUUGUUCAACAUCUGGUUCAGCGGCUUCUUCCGACUCAAUGGAGUGGUUGGAAAGUGGGUCCGUCGGAAGGAUGUGACUUAAAGGGACAUCUUUCAUCUUCAAGCGGUCUAUGUAAUUGCUGGUAUCAAAAUUUGUCACAGCAUUUGCUCCUCUAUACUCUAUUGCUGCCAUAUCAUAUGCUGCCGCAGCCUCCUCUUGUGUGUCUUUACCAACAAAAUAAAUAAUAUAAGUUCCUAGGUAAAGAUACUUAUUGCCAAAAACUCGUCCAAUUCUUGCUUCCCACCGCCCAUUCUGGUGAUGCCUAGCCACGCCACGAUACUUAGACACUCCUCUAGAAAAACCACUACUUCGCCGUCGGAGAUAUGCCAAGUACUCUUCUUUGCUCAUCUUUUGCAUCUCUUCAAGCUCCUUAGAGUAUGAUUUUAUCGGAAAAUUCAAUGUUGUAUCUGGUCCCCAAUACUUCAGGGCAGCAAGAUCAUAGGUAUGAGCAGCCGCUUCCUCAUUAUCAUACGCCCCCAAAUAAACUAAGCAGCGACGAGAGUGUACAUGAACGUUACAAUUACAAGGAUUAUCAAAGAAUAAACACACAGUCAGAACACAACAUAUUGCAAAGAAGGAGAUUUACAGAUCUCCUUUAUGGUUUUAUAUAUUUUAAAUAUAAUUUAAUUAAAAAAAUUGACCUUGUCUUCCCUUCUUGUUUUGGAUGUUGUUCCAUGAACUUUUAUCCCAUAGAUGAGCCUCAAACCUCCCUGUCCAUCUAUGCCUGGUGACUCCUCUGUAAAUAGAGCUUCUUCUUCUGCUGCUGCUGGUGGCAGUAGCAUUAAUCUGGCAUUUGUCUUGAUUCUUUUGAAUUCUUCGAGCACGUUUUGACUUGGGUUUUUGUGAUCUUAAUAGAUGAUGAUGGAGAGGAGUAUCGGAGCCCAAGCAACAAGAUGAAGCAGAGGAGGAAUAAGAAGAAGAUGAAGAAGAAGAAAAGCGUGAUAAAUCAGGGGACCUCUUCAUUUAAUCUGUUUUGCCCACUUCUUUUUAGCUCCUGCAAUGAGAGAGGGAAAGACACCAGGAUAGGAAAAAGAAAGGAACUUAAUGCAAGAGUUUAGAAGAUGGAUAUGGUUAGGUCUCUCUGCUGGUUUAUAUUUUGUGACUUUGCCGAAAGAAGAGGUGAGUAUUUUGGUAACCAGAAGUGGUUUACCAAAACAAGAAGACAGAAUCAGACAUGAGACAUGGAAAGAAGCAGAAAAUAA